rnacentral:lncRNA from 1 species
UCAGUGAAGAGAGAAAGAGAGCGAUUUAGCGAGGAGAGUUGAGGUGGUGAUGUUUGUCGAUGAUGGUGGUUUGAGGAGGCGAAAGAGGACCAAGGGAUUUAGGAAUUGCUUUCUUCGAAUUGGGGAUUUUGGUGUUGCAAGUCAGAGGAUAGGAGGAAUCGUCGCUUGGACUUGGAGAAGGGGCGACGACAAAGUGGCGAUUAUUGCCGGGCGACUGUCCUUUAAAAGAGGGAGAGACAUAGACAGAGGAAGAAUAAAGGCGAGGGAAAAUAGUGGCUGA